rnacentral:lncRNA from 1 species
UCUAACAUUAUACAUAACUAAUUUGUGCAUAAGGUUGAAAUAACAAUAUAAUGCUAUUAUAUAACAGUAUUUAAGAAUGCGUAAAUCAACAAAAAUACCGAUUCAUCAACAAAUCACCACACCUUUGAAAGACGCAGGCGUGAUGAUUCUUCACUUUUUAUCUUACUUGAAAAUUUAGCAACGGGUUUUUUAGAGAUUGUACGAGCAACUUCCCUCGACUUCUUCAUCUUGGUGGGAUCGUUGCGAUAUUUCAAUCUAUUUUCUCUAAAACUCAGACCAAACUCCAUUACUAUGCUUAAAUUUGAAAAUUACGUACAUGCAACAAGUAACUCGUAAUUUUUGAUUCAGU